rnacentral:lncRNA from 1 species
GAACAGUCGGUAAAGCAGUUCUGGUUUUCGGUGUGUUCGUAAACUUCGAGAAAAAGACUAUUAUUUUUCUUCUGUGAUUUUAAGUUUUAUUGAACGAUUGCGAAAAAUGAUUAAUCGAGAGAGGAAUAAUAAUAAAAUCAAGAAUGAGAUUUAAAAAUCCUAAAAGACCGAUUAUUCGUUGUGAUGAACCUUAAUGCGCUUCUCUGGCCAUCUACAGAACUUUCAGCGAAGUAAAAUUUCGAAUCAUACGAGAAGCCGCGAAAAUUUUCGCAGAAUAUUUGAACCAACUUUCAAAGUAUUCAAAAACAUUCGAAUGUAUCUCCCCAACAUAAAAAAAAGGAAAGAAAUGAUAGAGUUGAAAUCUUCACCAAAGGAGUCAUACGAUACGCAACACAAUCUACGUAAGAGAGAACACAGUCAUCGACUCUCGCAACGAUAUUUCUCACCACCGAUGUUAUGGAACAAUUCUCCUCCCCCUUCUUCAAUCUUCAUUCUACGUUUCUUCGAACAUAUAAAUACUUACUUACGCAUAUACGGGGACGAUAAGAUUAGGUGAAAGGGGAAGAGAUAGUCGAAAAAGGUAGAGAUGAGAGUUGUAAGAAUAAAAGGAAUAUAAGAAGAAGAAAAAGAAGGAAAAGGGGGUGGGUGGUGGUGGGAGAGGUGUAGGAGGAGGAGAAUUAGAGGAAGAAGAGAUUCACGCGUGUAUAUAUAGAACAGCCCCUCACCCCUCAGUGAGGGCCGAGGAUGCCGAAGGCGAGGGACCGCAAACUAUUCUUGGAGAACCUUAGAACGUGCGGAGUAACUACCUUCGAUGUCUUCUCUUUCCCGAUUCGGCGUCAGUAAACGUCAGUAAACCGCUGUAAGCCACCGCGAAAAGAUUAACGCUCGAAACUUUCAGAGAAGAAAAAAAGACUCGUAUCAUCGUACUUGAAAACUGGUCUCCGUUGUCGUCGUCGUCGUCGUCGGAAAGGAGAAGAUUCCGAUAGUAAACGGGAGUGUGUAUAGGAUAGGAGCGAGGUAGAGGAAGAAGAGGGUAAGGGAGGAGACGAGAAGUCACAACUCCAGCGAGCUCCAGGAUUACUCGACAGAUUGCGCGC